UUUUGCUAACGUGCAGCUGUGACGCAGGACGCUGCAGAUACACAGCGGCAACUUCAGAUGUGAGCAGGGACAGAGUCUGGAGAAUCAUGUCGUGGUUGUUUAGUCUCCUGUUGAUGUGAGGCAAAAUCCUCACAGCUGCUGUGGGAAUCAGAUUAAAUGACAACGAGACAAAAGCCUGUUAACUGAAACCCUGAGGCGGUGCUUCAUUGUCGCUCAACUCCCACCUCCGUCCUGUUGCUGAUCACUAUUCCCCUCCCACGAGAUGAAAGAUGGGCGAGGACGGGAUGAUCUGUGGAUCAGGUUGUGUCACACCUGAAACGAGGUGAUAUCUCAUCGACAACUUUUCGAACUGUAAUUAAACUUGAGAUCACAGACGGUGCUGCUGCAAUUUUGAUCAAACGUGAAAGACGGAUGCUCUUUGACACUGCAUUUUAAAAAGUUGGCCUCAUAUGGAGGAUUAAAUUGAAGGUCAGCAUUUCAAAUAUCUAACACCAUAACUUAUGCAUGCAGUUGCACGUGUACUUGCACUGAAUCUGAAGUGAUGACACCAAGUAUUAUAUGCAUUUUCCACAU